rnacentral:rRNA from 1 species
UACGAAGGGGGCUAGCGUUGCUCGGAAUUACUGGGCGUAAAGCGCACGUAGGCGGAUUUGUAAGUCAGGGGUGAAAUCCCGGGGCUCAACCUCGGAACUGCCUUUGAUACUGCAAAUCUCGAGUCCGGGAGAGGUGAGUGGAACUGCGAGUGUAGAGGUGAAAUUCGUAGAUAUUCGCAAGAACACCAGUGGCGAAGGCGGCUCACUGGCCCGGUACUGACGCUGAGGUGCGAAAGCGUGGGGAGCAAACAGG